CCUACGGGAGGCAGCAGUGAGGAAUAUUGGUCAAUGGGCGAGAGCCUGAACCAGCCAAGUCGCGUGAGUGAAGAAGCGUUUCGGCGCGUAAAGCUCUGUCAGCGGGGAAGAAACACGGUUCGCGAGAGCCGCGGACGGUACCCGACCAAGAAGCCCCGGCUAACUACGUGCCAGCAGCCGCGGUAAUACGUAGGGGGCAAGCGUUAUCCGGAUUCACUGGGUGUAAAGGGAGCGUAGACGGCGAGACAAGUCUGGAGUGAAAGGCCGGGGCCCAACCCCGGGACUGCUCUGGAAACUGCCCGGCUUGAGUACAGGAGAGGUAAGUGGAAUUCCUAGUGUAGCGGUGAAAUGCGUAGAUAUUAGGAGGAACACCAGUGGCGAAGGCGGCUUACUGGACUGUAACUGACGUUGAGGCUCGAAAGCGUGGGGAGCAAACAGGAUUAGAUACCCGAGUAGUC
rnacentral:rRNA from 1 species